UACGUAGGGGGCAAGCGUUGUCCGGAAUCAUUGGGCGUAAAGGGCGCGUAGGCGGCAGAUCAAGUCAGCUGUGAAAUCUCCGAGCUUAACUCGGAACUGUCAGCUGAUACUGUUUUGCUAGAGUGCGGAAGGGGCAAUCGGAAUUCUUGGUGUAGCGGUGAAAUGCGUAGAUAUCAAGAGGAACACCUGAGGUGAAGACGGGUUGCUGGGCCGACACUGACGCUGAGUGCGCGAAAGCCAGGGGAGCAAACGGG
rnacentral:rRNA from 1 species